UCCCUGGUGGUCUAGUGGUUAGGAUGCGGUGCUUUCACCGCUGCGGCCCGGGUUCGAUCCCCAGUCAGGGAA